rnacentral:rRNA from 1 species
UGGGGAAUAUUGCGCAAUGGACGAAAGUCUGACGCAGCAACGCCGCGUGAGUGAUGAAGGCCUUCGGGUUGUAAAGCUCUGUCAGGUGGAAAGAACAGACGAAAGUCAUGACGGUACCACCAAAGGAAGCACCGGCUAACUCUGUGCCAGCAGCCGCGGUAAUACAGAGGGUGCAAGCGUUGCUCGGAAUUAUUGGGCGUAAAGCGCACGCAGGCGGUAAGGUAAGUCGGUUGUGAAAAGCCCGGGCUCAACCCGGGACGUGCAGCCGAUACUGCCAUACUGGAGUACGGAAGAGGGGAGCGGAAUUCCCAGUGUAGAGGUGAAAUUCGUAGAGAUUGGGAGGAACACCGGUGGCGAAAGCGGCUCCCUGGUCCGAUACUGACGCUCAUGUGCGAAAGCG